GUUAGGAAUAUUGGACAAUGGGCGCAAGCCUGAUCCAGCCAUGCCGCGUGAACGAUGAAGGCCUUCGGGUUGUAAAGUUCUUUAGCCGAUGAUUAUAAUGACUGUAGUCGGAAAAUAAGCCCCGGCUAACUUCGUGCCAGCAGCCGCGGUAAUACGAAGGGGGCGAGCGUUAUUCGGAAUCACUGGGCGUAAAGCGUGCGUAGGCGGUCUCGUAAGUUAGGAGUGAAAGCCCAGGGCUCAACCUUGGAAUUGCUCUUAAUACUGCAAGGCUAGAAUCUCGGAGAGGAGAGCGGAAUUUCCAGUGUAGCAGUGAAAUGCGUAGAUAUUGGAAGGAACACCAGUGGCGUAAGCGGCUAUCUGGACGAGCAUUGACGCUGAGGCACGAAAGCGUGGGGAUCAAACAGGAUUAGAUACCCCAGUAGUCC
rnacentral:rRNA from 1 species